rnacentral:rRNA from 1 species
AUUGAACGCUGGCGGCAGGCCUAACACAUGCAAGUCGAACGGUAACAGGAAACAGCUUGCUGUUUCGCUGACGAGUGGCGGACGGGUGAGUAAUGUCUGGGAAACUGCCUGAUGGAGGGGGAUAACUACUGGAAACGGUAGCUAAUACCGCAUAACGUCGCAAGACCAAAGAGGGGGACCUUCGGGCCUCUUGCCAUCGGAUGUGCCCAGAUGGGAUUAGCUAGUAGGUGGGGUAACGGCUCACCUAGGCGACGAUCCCUAGCUGGUCUGAGAGGAUGACCAGCCACACUGGAACUGAGACACGGUCCAGACUCCUACGGGAGGCAGCAGUGGGGAAUAUUGCACAAUGGGCGAAAGCCUGAUGAAGCCAUGCCGCGUGUAUGAAGAAGGCCUUCGGGUUGUAAAGUACUUUCAGCGGGGAUGAAGGGAGUAAAGUUAAUACCUUUGCUAAUUGACGUUACCCGCAGAAGAAGCACCGGCUAACUCCGUG